CUACGGGAGGCAGCAGUGGGGAAUAUUGGACAAUGGGCGAAAGCCUGAUCCAGCCAUGCCGCGUGAGUGAUGAAGGCCUUAGGGUUGUAAAGCUCUUUCGCCAGGGGCGAUAAUGACGGUACCUGGAUAAGAAGCCCCGGCUAACUUCGUGCCGGCAGCCCCGGUAAUACGAAGGGGGCUAGCGUUGUUCGGAAUCACUGGGCGUAAAGCGCACGUAGGCGGAUCUUUAAGUCAGGGGUGAAAUCCCGAGGCUCAACCUCGGAACUGCCCUUGAUACUGGAGAUCUUGAGUUCGGGAGAGGUGAGUGGAACUGCGAGUGUAGAGGUGAAAUUCGUAGAUAUUCGCAAGAACACCAGUGGCGAAGGCGGCUCACUGGCCCGAUACUGACGCUGAGGUGCGAAAGCGUGGGGAGCAAACAGGAUUAGAAACCCCUGUAGUCC
rnacentral:rRNA from 1 species